GACGAACGCUGGCGGCGUGCUUAACACAUGCAAGUCGAACGGUGAAGCGCCUUCCUUUUUGGUGGGUGUGGAUGAGUGGCGAACGGGUGAGUAACACGUGAGUAACCUGCCCCCUUCUUCUGGAUAACCGCAUGAAAGUGUGGCUAAUACGGGAUAUUCUGGGUCUGUCGCAUGAUGGGUCUGGGAAAGAUAUUGUUUCGGUGGGGGAUGGGCUCGCGGCCUAUCAGCUUGUUGGUGGGGUGAUGGCCUACCAAGGCGGUGACGGGUAACCGGCCUGAGAGGGUGGACGGUCACACUGGGACUGAGACACGGCCCAGACUCCUACGGGAGGCAGCAGUGGGGAAUAUUGCACAAUGGGCGCAAGCCUGAUGCAGCGACGCCGCGUGAGGGAUGGAGGCCUUCGGGUUGUGAACCUCUUUCGCCAGUGAAGCAGGCCUGCCUCGUUUGUGGGUGGGUUGACGGUAGCUGGAGAAGAAGCGCCGGCUAACUACGUG
rnacentral:rRNA from 1 species